UGGCAAACGGGUGAGUAACACGUGGGAACACGCCUUCGAGUGGGGAAUAACGCUGAGAAAUCAGUGCUAAUACCGCAUAUGGUCUAACGACUAAAGCAGUGAUGCGCUCGGAGAGUGGCCCGCGUCCGAUUAGCUAGUUGGUGGGGUAAUGGCCUACCAAGGCGGUGAUCGGUAGCUGGUCUGAGAGGAUGGUCAGCCACACUGGGACUGCGAACGGCCCAG
rnacentral:rRNA from 1 species